rnacentral:rRNA from 1 species
AGAGUUUGAUCCUGGCUCAGAUUGAACGCUGUCGGCAGGCCUAACACAUGCAAGUCGAGCGGUAGAGAGAAGCUUGCUUCUCUUGAGAGCGGCGGACGGGUGAGUAAUGCCUAGGAAUCUGCCUGGUAGUGGGGGAUAACGUUCGGAAACGGACGCUAAUACCGCAUACGUCCUACGGGAGAAAGCAGGGGACCUUCGGGCCUUGCGCUAUCAGAUGAGCCUAGGUCGGAUUAGCUAGUUGGUGAGGUAAUGGCUCACCAAGGCGACGAUCCGUAACUGGUCUGAGAGGAUGAUCAGUCACACUGGAACUGAGACACGGUCCAGACUCCUACGGGAGGCAGCAGUGGGGAAUAUUGGACAAUGGGCGAAAGCCUGAUCCAGCCAUGCCGCGUGUGUGAAGAAGGUCUUCGGAUUGUAAAGCACUUUAAGUUGGGAGGAAGGGCAGUAAAUUAAUACUUUGCUGUUUUGACGUUACCGACAGAAUAAGCACCGGCUAACUCUGUGCCAGCAGCCGCGGUAAUACAGAGGGUGCAAGCGUUAAUCGGAAUUACUGGGCGUAAAGCGCGCGUAGGUGGUUUGUUAAGUUGGAUGUGAAAUCCCCGGGCUCAACCUGGGAACUGCAUUCAAAACUGACUGACUAGAGUAUGGUAGAGGGUGGUGGAAUUUCCUGUGUAGCGGUGAAAUGCGUAGAUAUAGGAAGGAACACCAGUGGCGAAGGCGACCACCUGGACUAAUACUGACACUGAGGUGCGAAAGCGUGGGGAGCAAACAGGGUUAGAUACCCUGGUAGUCCACGCCGUAAACGAUGUCAACUAGCCGUUGGAAGCCUUGAGCUUUUAGUGGCGCAGCUAACGCAUUAAGUUGACCGCCUGGGGAGUACGGCCGCAAGGUUAAAACUCAAAUGAAUUGACGGGGGCCCGCACAAGCGGUGGAGCAUGUGGUUUAAUUCGAAGCAACGCGAAGAACCUUACCAGGCCUUGACAUCCAAUGAACUUUCUAGAGAUAGAUUGGUGCCUUCGGGAACAUUGAGACAGGUGCUGCAUGGCUGUCGUCAGCUCGUGUCGUGAGAUGUUGGGUUAAGUCCCGUAACGAGCGCAACCCUUGUCCUUAGUUACCAGCACGUAAUGGUGGGCACUCUAAGGAGACUGCCGGUGACAAACCGGAGGAAGGUGGGGAUGACGUCAAGUCAUCAUGGCCCUUACGGCCUGGGCUACACACGUGCUACAAUGGUCGGUACAGAGGGUUGCCAAGCCGCGAGGUGGAGCUAAUCCCACAAAACCGAUCGUAGUCCGGAUCGCAGUCUGCAACUCGACUGCGUGAAGUCGGAAUCGCUAGUAAUCGCGAAUCAGAAUGUCGCGGUGAAUACGUUCCCGGGCCUUCAAACGCCGCCCGUC